GAACAAUGAGUUGCAACUAAAUAAUGUAUUUGAUAGAAUCAAAACGUGACAUCCAAAAAUUGAUCGAGUUAAUUUUCCUGAAAUUAUAAAUUUAUUUGAUAUUUUGCUAACGUUAAACUUUGAACUAAAAGCAUCUAGAUUCCUUAUCAAACCUAUAUUUACGUAACGUAACCUAUGCAGUUGUGCCAUCCAUAGAAUUUACUUAUUAUCGAGGUACAGCGUUGAACUUAAAUCCUAUGAACGAAUUCGGGUCAAGGAUAAGUGAAUCGAAUUGAGCCCACGAAACGAAUUUUUUAACACUGUUCUCCAAUAAAAUCGUUAAAAAAUCGGAUAUCGUUCAAUAUUGUUACUUCCGUGACAAAAUUAAAAAAUUCGUUUCCCGAAUUCCGAAGAGAUUUAAAGUAUGGCACCGCUUGCUCCACCCGAGCGUAGCUGCUCUCUUUGCCAGUCCGAAGAUGAUAGCCGUAUGGUUAGCUGCGACAAAUGCAACGAAUGGUACCAUUUCGAUUGCGUCGGGGUAACGGAGGAUGUCGCCAAUACCUUCUUGGAGCUGUCC